GUACUAGGCGGGGAGCUAGUGGUGCCCUGUAACCCACAAGCCACUACAGUGGGGCUGAUGUGCUAGAGCGGGACAGACUUGGUUGUGUUGAGUAGCCGUAUAUCAUGCUGAAAUCAGGGUCUUAUACAAUAUUGCCCUACGAACCAUGUCAGGGUCGGAAGACAGCAGCAUUAAGCAGGAUACAGUAUGUGCUGUAAGGUUGCUUUGAUGGAGU
rnacentral:SRP_RNA from 1 species